UCACAAUUGCUGUUGUCCUUUUUGCUUUAAUGCGGCAAGCACGGCAAUGGGAGCUCGACCAGCCUAUACCUUCUCUCAUUUCAGCUGUGGAAUCAAAUUUGAGGAUGCCAUUGCCCUUUCUCUGUUUGGCUCAGCUACCUAUCUUAUUUGCUCUGAUACCAUGAUGAGAACAGCUGUGGAAUCAAAUUUGAGGAUGCCAUUGCCCUUUCUCUGUUUGGCUCAGCUACCUAUCUUAUUUGCUCUAGUACUUUCCUGCCUCAUUUCUCUACCCCUUCCUCCAGCCAUAAGCUUCAUCAUUGUCUCAACAAUCUGUUACUUCUGUUCAAAUGGAGUGGUGGUUGUGGUAAUAUCAGCCUCCCAGUUA
rnacentral:lncRNA from 1 species